ensembl:lncRNA
CAGCAUUUGGAAAGAGCUAGACUAGAUGUGAAACCUCUGUUCCUGUUUAGUCAGCACUACAGCAUGUUUCUACAUCCGUACAUCCCUGAUGACAGCACUGCUUUUCUAUUUAUGUUGUUUGUGCUCAGUUUGUGCACACUGCUAUUACAUGCUCUUUUUUCCUUUUUAAACUGCACAGAAUAAUGUCCCUCUUGCCUUAUCUAAUGGGGCGGGGGGGAGGAGAAAAUUUGACUACUGGGAUUAAAUUAAAAAGAAGAACAAAACUUACAACUACACAAGCUUACGCAAUGGAAGAACGUAACAAAAAGUCUCUUUCUAGUAUUGUUUCUACUGCAUGUCGUGUUCUUCCACAGGCUUAUGUAGAAAGACCUGCAGAUCUAUAGAAAGAGUUUGACCCAUAUUAUUUCUAUUUCUCUUUGACUCUAUGGCUCUUUUUUGCCCGAUGCCUUGUUUCAAUAAAUCCCACAAAACAAACCAACGGAUUUUUGGGAUAUGAAUCAUUUAUAUAUAUGUAAGUGUGUGUACACAUAUUAAAUCUGUGUAUGUGUAUUAUAAGCAUAUACAUACAUUUAUUUAUUAUAUAAAUUGAGCUCACUGCUCUCCUAAAAAUCUAUGUGAAUUACUGUUGUUAACAAACCUUGAAAUAUUUCAGCGUUCAUAAGCCAUGUUUAGUGAAGGUACAAAUAGUUCAGUCACUUUCUUGACAGAGGAGGUGAUACAGUUACUACUAACACUGCUCAGACAGAGGUAAAAAGGGAGGAUUUAAAUGUAAGCAUAAAACUUUUGGAAAACUUUGGCUUUUGGGGAAAAAAAAAGAACUGUAUGAAAUGGUUAAUUAUUUCCUAAAAGUCGUGCAACAGGAACAAGAAGCUACCCAAAGCAUUAAAUGCUUGUUUAAAACAAGAGCACAGAUAUCAGCUAAGACUGAAACGAGGAAUUUCCACUUUAUAGAUUGUUUCACAUGGACUGUGGUUUAUCAUCAUUUCAGCAAGUACUCAGUCUGUAAGACCCAUCGCCAAUAUUUUCCCCCACACUUCUUUUUAUCAGGUAAGAUAACUGCUACGGAGCUGUUCAAAAUGAAUUUUAUGGCAUUCUUGAUGGGUACUUCACCUCAUGUGCUAUUAGAACAAUGCACAAAAUGUUUUGAAGGAACCUAAGAGGAUAUAGGAUCUUAGAGUUACAUGGCUAUUGGAAAUGGGAUGCUAGAAUUGCAUAGAUAUUGGAAAUAGCACCUGAGGGUCAUUUCACU